GACGAACGCUGGCGGCGUGCUUAACACAUGCAAGUCGAACGGAAAGGCCCUGCUUUUGUGGGGUGCUCGAGUGGCGAACGGGUGAGUAACACGUGAGUAACCUGCCCUUGACUUUGGGAUAACUUCAGGAAACUGGGGCUAAUACCGGAUAGGAGCUCCUGCUGCAUGGUGGGGGUUGGAAAGUUUCGGUGGGUGGGGAUGGACGCGCGGGUUAUCAGCUUGUGGGUGGGGUAGUGGCUUACGAAGGCUUUGGUGGGUAGCCGGCCUGAGAGGGUGACCGGCCACAUUGGGACUGAGAUACGGCCCAGACUCCUACGGGAGACAGCAGUGGGGAAUAUUGCACAAUGGGCGGAAGCCUGAUGAAGCAACGCCGCGUGCGGGAUGACGGCCUUCGGGUUGUAAACCGCUUUCGCCUGUGACGAAGCGUGUGUGACGGUAAUGGGUAAAGAAGCACCGGCUAACUACGUG
rnacentral:rRNA from 1 species